rnacentral:rRNA from 1 species
GAUGAACGCUGGCGGCGUGCCUAAUACAUGCAAGUCGAGCGAACGGACGAGAAGCUUGCUUCUCUGAUGUUAGCGGCGGACGGGUGAGUAACACGUGGAUAACCUACCUAUAAGACUGGGAUAAUUUCGGGAAACCGGAGCUAAUACCGGAUAAUAUUUUGAACCGCAUGGUUCAAAAGUGAAAGACGGUCUUGCUGUCACUUAUAGAUGGAUCCGCGCUGCAUUAGCUAGUUGGUAAGGUAACGGCUUACCAAGGCAACGAUGCAUAGCCGACCUGAGAGGGUGAUCGGCCACACUGGAACUGAGACACGUUCCAGACUCCUACGGGAGGCAGCAGUAGGGAAUCUUCCGCAAUGGGCGAAAGCCUGACGGAGCAACGCCGCGUGAGUGAUGAAGGUCUUCGGAUCGUAAAACUCUGUUAUUAGGGAAGAACAUAUGUGUAAGUAACUGUGCACAUCUUGACGGUACCUAAUCAGAAAGCCACGGCUAACUACGUG